rnacentral:sRNA from 1 species
UGACUUGAGCCGGGCGCCGGCCGCAUGC